rnacentral:lncRNA from 1 species
UCUGGAACACUGACAGAGUGUUGGGUACAUACCGUGUAGUUAAAUAGCCCUUCUGUCAUUCUGGAGUCCCCGUUGCACUAGUGUGUUAAAAAUUAAAACACAAUUUGAUUGUAACUUAAACCUAAAAGCACAAGUCAUGAUUUACUGCAUUAAAAACAAUCAUCUGGGCUUGAUUAUCUUAGUAAGAUUUGGUAAUAAUGGCCAGUUCCUUUUAGUUUUAGAACAUCCACUGAUGACCUAAAUUAAAUACAUCUCUAAAAUGGGGCACUAAGAUACUAGGCUCCAAGAUUCAGUUUGAAGGAGAACUUAAAUGUAGUGGUUCUAACUUUUUCUCCAUACCAGCAGACUGUAUUAGAACAGUGGAAUGAAAAUACCAUUUUGUAUUAGUUAAAGGAAAGAAUUAGGACAUUCACACAGCCUGAAAAUGUGACCAUUAAACUGCAUAGAGGGGUUGGGAGUUAUGUUUACCACUAAUACUUUUUGUAUGUGAACUGCCCAGUUGAUUCUUGGUAAAAAGUACAUUAAAGACUUGAAUAGAAAUCCUUAAGACCCCCAUCUCUUAACAGAUAACACAUUAAGUAAAUAAGUAUUAUAAAUAUUAAAUUUUUUUCAGGUUAUGACCAGGUAUUUGUUAAGGGUUAUUGGCAGGGACAAAUAUGAUUAUGUUAAUGUUAGCUUAUGUUACUCAUUUACUAAGAAACAACAGGUUGCAACUCAUCUCAAACACAAAGAACAAAAUCAGCCUGACAUGAUAGAGUACUGCUUGAAUUCAUUAAUAGUACCACCUUGACAGUUAAUGCAGGCUACCAGAAUCUUAGCACAACUGAAAAUCCCUUUGCUAUUAUUAAACAUGUUUUGAAAUUAUAACCAUCCACGAUUUACUUUUUUCUUCAGACCGAUCAGAUGACUGCCACUGUAGCCUUUUGAAUUUGUAAGGCAAAAAAAUUUACAAUGUGCUUUUCCCCAGUACAUCAAACAGAUUUCAAAUUGAGUGCUGGCUUUAAAAACAUACUAUGGCAAUGCACUUGCUAGUACUACACACUUUGUACAAAGGAAAACAGGCAAGAAACUUAAGGAAAG